rnacentral:rRNA from 1 species
UAGGGAAUCUUCCGCAAUGGGCGAAAGCCUGACGGAGCAACGCCGCGUGAGUGAUGAAGGUCUUCGGAUCGUAAAACUCUGUUAUUAGGGAAGAACAAAUGUGUAAGUAACUAUGCACGUCUUGACGGUACCUAAUCAGAAAGCCACGGCUAACUACGUGCCAGCAGCCGCGGUAAUACGUAGGUGGCAAGCGUUAGCCGGAAUUAUUGGGCGUAAAGCGCGCGUAGGCGGUUUUUUAAGUCUGAUGUGAAAGCCCACGGCUCAACCGUGGAGGGUCAUUGGAAACUGGAAAACUUGAGUGCAGAAGAGGAAAGUGGAAUUCCAUGUGUAGCGGUGAAAUGCGCAGAGAUAUGGAGGAACACCAGUGGCGAAGGCGACUUUCUGGUCUGUAACUGACGCUGAUGUGCGAAAGCGUGGGGAUCAAACAGG